CAAUAGCGUAUAUUAAAGUUGUUGCGGUUAAAAAGCUCGUAGUUGGAUUUCUGCCGAGGACGACCGGUCCGCCCUCUGGGUGAGUAUCUGGCUCGGCCUGGGCAUCUUCUUGGAGAACGUAGCUGCACUUGACUGUGUGGUGCGGUAUCCAGGACUUUUACUUUGAGGAAAUUAGAGUGUUUCAAGCAGGCUUACGCCUUGAAUACAUUAGCAUGGAAUAAUAAGAUAGGACCUCGGUUCUAUUUUGUUGGUUUCUAGAGCUGAGGUAAUGAUUAAUAGGGAUAGUUGGGGGCAUUCGUAUUUAACUGUCAGAGGUGAAAUUCUUGGAUUUGUUAAAGACGCACUACUGCGAAAGCAUUUGCCAAGGAUGUUUUCAUUGA
rnacentral:rRNA from 1 species